rnacentral:rRNA from 1 species
AGACGUCUACAUUAGAUACCCGUGUAGUCCUAGCCGUAAACGAUACUCGCUAGGUGUCGGCCACGGUGCGACCGUUGUCGGUGCCGUAGGGAAGCCGUUAAACUCGCUGCCUGGGAGCACGGUCGCAAGGCUGAAACUUAAAGGAAUUGGCGGGGGAGCACAACAACGGGUGGAGCUUGCGGUUUAAUUGGAUUCAACGCCGGAAAUCUUACCGGGACCGACAGCAACAUGAAGGCCAAGCUGAAGACUUUGCCGGAUUAGCUG